UACCCGCCGCACAAGUGGUGGUCAUUAUUAUUGGGCCUAAAGCGUCCGUAGCUGGCUUGUUAGAUGCCUGGGUAAAUCGAUGCGCUCAACGCAUCGAACUCCGGGUAGACCGGCAAGCUUGGGACCGGGAGAGGCGUGAGCUACUCGAGGGGUAGGGGUAAAAUCCUGUAAUCCUUCGGGGAGGACCAGUGGCGAAGGCGUCACGCUAGAACGGCUCCGACAGUGAGGGACGAAGCCCUGGGGCGCAAACCGG
rnacentral:rRNA from 1 species